rnacentral:rRNA from 1 species
GCUCAGUGAGGCCUUCGGACUGGCUCCAGGAGGUCGGCAACGACCACCCAGAGCCGGAAAGUUGGUCAAACUUGGUCAUUUAGAGGAAGUAAAAGUCGUAACAAGGUCUCCGUAGGUGAACCUGCGGAGGGAUCAUU